GUCCUUAGUUACCAGCACGUUAUGGUGGGCGACUCUAAGGAGACUGCCGGUGACAAACCGGAGGAAAGGUGGGGAUGACGUCAAGUCAUCAUGGCCCUUACGGCCUGGGCUACACACGUGCUACAAUGGUCGGUACAAAGGGUUGCCAAGCCGCGAGGUGGAGCUAAUCCCAUAAAACCGAUCGUAGUCCGGAUCGCAGUCUGCAACUCGACUGCGUGAAGUCGGAAUCGCUAGUAAUCGUGAAUCAGAAUGUCACGGUGAAUACGUUCCCGGGCCUU
rnacentral:rRNA from 1 species